AUGAAGAAUUUCUCCUCUGUCCUCUGUAACAUGUAUGAGGAUGGAGGUGAUGGAUCAUCAGUGGAUGGAGAUCUGAGCAGAUCUGGAGCUUCAGACAGAGAAGAAGAGAAAGAGAAGAAGGACUCUGAUCUCAAAGAGAGCACAAAAACAGCAAGUGAUGGAGGAGUGACGACUGGAAAAACAAAGCUGAACAUCGUGCUGUGUGGAAAUAAUUCAACACUCAACAACUCAGUGUCUAGAAUAUUUAGAGAGAUAAUAAAUAAACCAGUGAAUGAACUUUCACAUCAGAAAGAGAAGAGCAGUGUGUGUGUGAAGAAAGAGGAGAAGAUUAAUGGACGGCAGAUCAGUGUAAUAGAGCUUCCAGUUCUCUCUCGUCUCUCAGAGGAGGAAGUGAUGCGUCAGACUCACAGCUGUGUGUCUCUCUGUGAUCCUGGAGUUCAUCUUUUCAUCCUCGUUACUCCUGUCACUCCACUUAAUAAUGAAGACAGAGCAGAAAUGGAGAAGAUCAAAAGAAUAUUUUACUCACAAGAACACUUCAUGGUGCUUUUCUUUACUGAACUCACUGUUAAUAAAAGUGUGACUGAUUUUGUAGCAUCCACAGAAUCUCAGAGUGUUGUGAGACUCUAUGGGAGCUGGCACAGUGUGAUGGGGUUAAAGGACCAGAGAACCUCUCAACAGAUCUUAAAGAUGCUAGAUGUUAUAGACUGUAUGAAGAAGAUGAUUAUGAGAGCUCCAGAAAGGAGAGUCAGACAUGAACUAGAGGAAGAAACUGAGAGUGAAAGACAAUGAAAUCAGAGAGUUACAGAAGAAGAUCAAGACACUGGGUGAGUGGAUUCAUUUUCUGGAUCUGGCUGAAAUUGAUAUGCGACUAAUUUGCAAUUACUUCAGUUAAUUAAUUAAUCGGCACAUCAUGUGGUUAAUUAGAUUAAAAAAAUUGUAAUCUCUUGACAGCCUUAAUUAUAAGAUAUUAACAGCUGCUAUUAAGAUUGUGAUAAAUAAUGCACUGGGGUCACAAUUUGUCUGGAAGUAAAUAAAGUAAUCUUCAGAUUUAAUCCACAGAGAAUUUGGCCUAAAUUAAAUGAUUACUUAAAAUAAUAAUAAUAUUUAGUUGUUUUGAUUGUUUUAUAAUCAUAGGUUAUAUAUUACAUCUUUCUUGUCAG
rnacentral:lncRNA from 1 species